rnacentral:rRNA from 1 species
ACGAAGGGUGCAAGCGUUAAUCGGAAUUACUGGGCGUAAAGCGCGCGCAGGCGGUUCUCCAAGUCAGUGGUGAAAGCCCGGAGCUCAACUCCGGAACUGCCAUUGAAACCGCAGAACUUGAGGAUGAGAGAGGUGAGUGGAAUUCCCAGUGUAGAGGUGAAAUUCGUAGAUAUUGGGAAGAACACCGGUGGCGAAGGCGGCUCACUGGCUCAUUUCUGACGCUCAGGCGCGACAGCGUGGGGAUCAAACAGGA